rnacentral:lncRNA from 1 species
UAUAAUAAUAUUUUGUUAUUAGUGAUGGCUAAAACUGUCGCUAAUGCCAUCGGUAAUAGUUAAUUUUAUUUUUUUAAAAAAAAAUAUAAUAAUAUUUUUAAAAUUUAUUUUAAUUAAUCACAAUCAAUUAUGGUUCCUAACACUUGUUAUAAUUAAAAUCUACAGAUAAUAUAAUAAUCAUAAAUAAAAAAUUAAUUGUAUUAUAUUAAAAAUAUAAAUUAUAUAAUUUUAUAAGUAAUAUAAAAAAAAUAUAAUACAUUAAGAUAAAAAAAAUUAGCCUAGAUCCUCGUCAUGCUCUUCCUCGUCCUCCUGCUUCUCUCCAGCAGCUGGUGGAUGAGAGCCAGAUAUCCCAGCAUUCUAAAAUAAAAAACAUAAAAUAUUAUUAAUAAAUUUUAAUGUGAAGAUGUUGAGAAUUAUGUUCUAAAGCCAAUUGGCUUAUUGUAAAUAGUUAGAUUUGAUAUAUAAAUUAUUGAUCAAUGAAUAAAAAUUAUUUUGACAUUUUCACCACAAGAUGUACAUCUUCAUUAUUUGAACUCUUAUAUUAUGAUGAAGUUUUUAGAACUG